rnacentral:rRNA from 1 species
CGCGUAGGCGGCCUCUCAAGCGGGAUCCCUAAUCCGAGGGCUCAACCCCCGGCCGGAUCCCGAACUGGGAGGCUCGAGUUCGGUAGAGGCAGGCGGAAUUCCCGGUGUAGCGGUGGAAUGCGCAGAUAUCGGGAAGAACACCGAUGGCGAAGGCAGCCUGCUGGGCCGCAACUGACGCUGAGGCGCGAAAGCUAGGGGAGCAAACA